rnacentral:tRNA from 1 species
GCCGAGGUGUUGAAAUGGUAGACAAGCAGCGUUGAGGGCGCUGUGCCCGCAAGGGCGUGCGAGUUCGAGUCUCGCCCUCGGCACCA